AUGGCAGGCGGAGCGGCUGUGCUGGGGCGAGCGGGAGCCCGUGUAGACGAGCCUGCCUCCCAGAGGGACAGUGGGACGCAGCGCUCUGCGCACCACCCCACAGACGACCCCGCCGUGCGUGCGGGGCAGGGGCCGUGUGCAGUGAGCCUGCGGGACCCCGGGGUGUGGGGAGGGGGCGCAGCUGCAGGGAAGCCGGGGAAGGCGGUGGAGGGAGACGGCCUGUCCUGGGUGGAGGCGUGGGGUGUGUGUAGAGGAGGGACCUCCUCCAGGCGAGCGGGGCAUGGGUGCAGGCGGGCGGGAGUCGUGGUACGAGGCGGCACCCCCAGGCUUGUCUGGAAGGAUCUGGGCUGGGUUUGCCCCACAACGCGGCCCUCACCCCAACAUGCACUGGUGUUGGGGGAGGCCUCUGCAGCCCAGGGCCCCGAGUGGACAGAGGUCAGGGCCUGCAUGGUGGCGGGUGCUGAUCCUGGGCCUGUGGGCACGGGGACCCCACAGGCAGCAGGUGCACUGCCGCGCAGCGGGCAGGCCAGGAGGGGUUGGAGGAGUUGGGGGAGGGGCCCGGGGAGAGCAGGGGGCCUGCAGGAGUUGGGGAGGGGCCCGGGGAGAGCAGGGGGCCUGCAGGAGUCGGGGAGGGGCCUGAGGGAGAGCAGGGGGCCUGCAGGAGUCGGGGAGGGGCCCGGGGAGAGCAGGGGGCCUGCAGGAGUUGGGGAGGGCCCUAGGGAGAGCGGGGGACCUGCAGGAGUCGGGGAGGGCCCUAGGGAGAGCGGGGGACCUGUAGGAGUCGGGGAGGGGCCCGGGGAGAGCAGGGGGCCUGCAGGAGUCGGGGAGGGGCCCGAGGGAGAGCGGGAGCCCAGGGCACUUGCAGCCCCAUGUUUGCAGGAACGAGCCUGUCCAUUCCGGGUCGCAGCUUUGGCCUGGUGUGGGUGCACUGUCCACCUCUGUGGUCUCUCCGUGUGUGUGUGUGUGUGUGUGUGUUUAUUUCUUAGUCAACUACACACACACACAUACACAGAGAGAGAGGGAGGUCUUCCACCUGCUGGUUCACUCCCCAGACGGCUGCACUGGCCAGCGCUGGGCCAGACCAAGGCCCGGAGCUUCCUCUGGUCUCCUGCAGGUGCAGGGGCCCAGGCGCUGGGUGGGCAGGGGCUGGGCCGCGAGUGGAGCCGCCCGGACCUCACUGUGUGGGGAAGAAGCAGGCCCGUGGGUCCUGAGGUUGCUGGGUUCAGGGCCGCCCCAGCGCUGAUAGAGCGGCGGGGGUUUGAGCACCUGAACACACGCGUCCUCCCGCGCGUGGCCUGA
rnacentral:lncRNA from 1 species